UGGCCCCAUCCCAAGGUCAGCUGGCGUGCAGGUUGGGCCUGUCUGCAGCCCAAUUCCAAGGGUCAGCUGGGAGGGUGAGUCUGAGACCAGACCUAACGAUGUCUUCUGAGUCCGUUUUCAGUGCCCUGAUAACUCGGCGCUGCUCCAUCUUGAUUUUCUACCAGGACCCUUCGGAAGACUGGUCUCCACGGCUGAUUUUGAAGCCCUUCCUGCAGGGGCAAGAUGGCACCUGGCUGGCUGUGUGUCCCUCUGAACCUGGGUGAUGUGGACAGUAUGCAGCAGGUGCUGGCUGUGCCUGGAACCCCUCUGACCUGGAGACCCCAGGACCCUGGGCUCCAGACCCCUGCCAGCCUCCGCCAAGAAAACUACGGCACGCCAGGAGGGCUGGGAGAUGCUGCAGUCCAUAACUCACAGGCCACUAAAUUAAUUACCAUGGCAGAAACAGGGAGACUGCAGCCCCGUCUCCUGGAAACCACCUCCAGUUUAUACAGCACUUGGAUUUGUUAAAAUAUUGAACCUGUUAGGAGGAAAAUGGAAAAAGCCAGACAAGAUGCUCUUCAGCCUGGCUGCGGGGCAUGUCGGGGAGGGAGAAGGCAAUCUGCGGGCUCCUUGCCCCGAGAUUGAUGGCUUGGGGUGCUGGCGAGGGGCAGGUCUGCAAAUGCCGGCUGAGGUGACGCCAGAGGAAAUGCGAUAUUUUGCAAUCUGCGGACUUGUCAUGUAAAUUAGUGUCCUUAAAGGGCUUUUACAUGUCUGGGUUUCCGUGCAGACGCCAGGAGCACCAGACAGAGGGACAUUCAUCAUCCUAAGGAAUGGCUUGUCCAGAGCACAGUGACCGCAUCUUGCUCUGCAAGGGCAAGCGUAGGGCUUCCUUCUCCUUCUGCAGGCGCAGCCACGUGACCCAGGAAUUAGUGGUGACCGCCAGUCUUGCAAGACCAGCUGUAGCACCUGGAAGGGACAAGAAGGCUGAUUGACCAUGGGCCAGACAUCAGUAAGAGUUUCCACUAUGCUGAUCCCCAAUUGUGGCAAGUUUGUGAUUGGCCCCCAUGGGACACUGAGGAGAGACCCCAGCACCUGCCUGGCCUCCAGGGAAGCUCGGAGAUCGAGGGGCCAGUGGUGGCCAGCCGUCUUUGCUCAGGGCCAUCACACCUGCCAAAGCACUGGACACAGAAGGGCCGUAGAAUGGACAGAAGCUGGUGCUGCUCCUGGGACAGGCACCUCUAGGUACUAGGGGAUGCCCUCCAGCCCCUGCCUACUUUGGGGCUGUCAGGUGAGCCUCAGGCAGACUGGCUAGGGCCCUGUGCUCAGACCUGGUGGGGGCGAGGAGGGGGCAGUGC